CCCUUAGAUGUCCGGGGCCGCACGCGCGCUACACUGAAGGAAUCAGCGUGGCUUUCUCCCUGACCCGAAAGGGUUGGGAAACCCGUUGAAUCUCCUUCGUGAUAGGGAUUGGGGCUUGAAAUUGGUCCCCAUGAACGAGGAAUUCCCAGUAAGCGCGAGUCAUAAGCUCGCGUUGAUUACGUCCCUGCCCUUUGUACACACCGCCCGUCGCUACUACCGAUUGAACGGUUUAGUGAGGGCCUCGGAUUGGUCUCGGCCCGCUCUUUACCGGGCGGCGCCGUUGGUCGAGAAGACGCUCGAACUUGAUCGUUUAGAGGAAGUAAAAGUCGUAACA
rnacentral:rRNA from 1 species